GCCAGUGUGGCAUAGUGGUUUGAGCGUUGGACUAUGACUCUGUUGAUCAGGGUUCGAAUUCUGCUCAGCCA